CGGAAUAAGGUUCUGAUUACAUGUAUGAAGACAUGUAACCCUAGAGUUCAUUAAUACAUAAUAAGACAAAAGAGUCCCGCUCGUCACUUCAUCACCAUCGGCAGCUGCUCAACCUGCACAUUUAGAAAUAUAUGCAGGGCUGAGUACAAAAGUACUCAGUGGGCACAUAUGCCUACUAUGAAAUAUAACAUGCUUCAUAAAGUUGUAAAUUGUCAUGCCAUCAUAAACAGUACAGCAAGGGAGUUUUUCGCUAAAAAGGCCCAAGCUUACUAAAUUCAUUUGUGAUUCUUAAAGUUCGUCUGCAGUCUAAGUUCUCUUGUAAUCUAUCAUAUCUGGAACUGUGUGCCGGAGAGGUGGCCACCUCUCACGGACACUUGACCGGCCAACCCGCUAGAUGACUCACGGUCACUGGUGUACACUAGCCCUGGCAGGAUAGCUAUCAACUGCUCAGGACCCGAAUUCGAUUACAUGAUUAAAGUCACAUCAGAUAGAUAUCAUACUGAAAUUUAAACAUUUUAUGGCAAGACAAUAUUUGAAAUAACUUCAAUUAAUUUAGUCAUGAAAUAACUUGAUUGAACGUAACAUUUAAACUCAUUUGAUAUAUAUGAAAGUAAUGCCCACCUCAUAGCAAAGCUUUGCUACAGAUUAAUGACUCCUUGACGAGCUCUUAUUCUUGCGCUCGACCUUUAAUCCGAGAAAAUAACGUAAG
rnacentral:lncRNA from 1 species